rnacentral:rRNA from 1 species
ACGGGGCCCGCACAAGCGGUGGAGCAUGUGGUUUAAUUCGACGCAACGCGAAGAACCUUACCAGGGCUUGACAUCCCCUGACCGCGUAUGAAAGUACGUUUUCACCCUCGGGUGACAGGGAGACAGGUGGUGCAUGGUUGUCGUCAGCUCGUGUCGUGAGAUGUUGGGUUAAGUCCCGCAACGAGCGCAACCCCUACGUUUAGUUGCUAACGCGUGAAGGCGAGCACUCUAGGCGAACUGCCGUUGACAAAACGGAGGAAGGUGGGGAUGACGUCAAAUCAUCAUGCCCCUUAUGUUCUGGGCUACACACGUGCUACAAUGGCCGGUACAGACGGAGGCGAAGCCGCGAGGCGGAGCAAAUCCGAAAAAGCCGGUCUCAGUUCGGAUUGCAGGCUGCAAUUCGCCUGCAUGAAGUCGGAAUCGCUAGUAAUCGCAGGUCAGCAUACUGCGGUGAAUACGUUCCCGGGCCUU